UUAUAGUUGCCUCGCGCGCGCACACACGCUUGGCUCAGUCGUUCCACGGUCGUUCACUGUCGCCGAUCGCCUGUCUCUGUCACCGGCACCGCGAGCCAUCAGUCCAGCCGAACAGCCAGCGCUUUUGGAAAUUUCUAUCUGGAAAAAAACCCCCCCAAAAACAUCAGAGAAAUGACUUCGCCCGCAGCAUCUCCGCUGAAACCGGCCAUCACGGCCAACUCCACGGCUUCGCCCGCCCGUUUGCCUAGCGCUCAACCGACACCGACUCACGCUGCUCAACAACCGGCGGCGGCCCAGACGGUCCAUUGCAAGUGGCAGUGCGCCCUGCGCGAACAUCCGGUCAUGACCACCGGAACAAUGUCUUGGACUCGAGUCUGGAGAUUCUCCAAGCUGCUCGUGCAAACCGGAUGUUAGUCGAAUGCGAAACCUAACCGAAUCCGUGUCAUCGAUAGACUUACAAUAUAAUAUGCAUUGUAUCGCGUAGACUUUUUCAAUUCUCUCUCUCUCUCUCUCUCUCGAAAAAUGUAAUACAGUAUUUUCCUUUCCACGCAGUACUUACGCCGCUGAACCGUACACAUGGACCACCUGGGGGACCGCCAUUUUGAUUCCGUCUCGUUAUCUUGUACUUGCCGUAUCCGACUUUGUUCAGUGGAUAUAUUCGAUGACGGUUUCUGUUGAUAAUGUUUGAUAUCAAUUUGAUAAGAGAUAACAGCUGUUGUCUGACGUUAUCAGAUUUUUAUCACACGUAAUCAAGAUGGCGGAAUCCGUGUGGGAUCAAUCUGUUAUCACUAUUAGACUUCCAUGUGUAUAGUCCGGCGACUAUUGACAACAACGACAAUAGCUGUAGCACUCUGUUCAGCCAGACAUCGGACGUGCGCAGAAACCAAAACGCGUACAACAGGAGUAACGCGUUUUGGUUUCUGCGCAGGUCCUUUCUCUCGCUAAACAGCCGAGUUUUAGGACUUUGUGAAACGUUGCAAUCAUCGGCCGUGUACGGUACGAUACAAAAUACACUUAUAUUUGUUGUUAAAACGUUUUGUAAUGAAAAAAAAUAUUAUAAAACCUCAUAUGUAACACACGACUGUACUUAAGUAGCUGAUGUUUUUGCUGUCUUUUUUUUUUUUUUAGUCACUUUGUCAAUUAGAAAAUAGGUACAUCAAUAAUCAUUAUUAUUAUUAUUAUUAUUAUUAUUGUUGUUAGACGGUCAGGGCUGAUUGCAAGGACGUAUAUUUAAAGCGUAGCGUGUUAUCGAGAAAACAAUUAAUUACUAUUGAAAUAUUAAUAUAGUUCUAUUAUCUUGACUAGAGACUGUUUUUUUAGAGACGUUUUGCGUGCGAUUUUCAAGGCAAUAAUAUUUAAAAUUUACUAUAAUAUUAUACUAUUUGAUCGUUACCUUUUAUUUUGUUUUCGUUUUGUAGAGCCUAUAUUAUUAUUAUUGUAUCAUUAUCAUAGUUAAUAUUAUUAUUAUUAUUAUUGUACCCACGUCCGUUUUGUACAGUGGGCGUUUUUAAAUAAUUACUAAUAUUAUUAAAUACUAAUACAUUAGAGGGUAGGGUAAUAAUAUAGAUAAUAUCAUUAUUUAUUAUAAUGUAGUAUAAUAUUUUCGACUUCUUUUGAAAGUAUUCGACUUUUGUAUUAUUAGUUAUUUCGAUAUUAUAUUAAUACAAUCUGCUAACCAGCACACACACACA